GAGAAUGCGCGGGUCGAGUGCUGUAGUUCGAUUUUUGCGUGUGUGCGUUGCUUGCGGCCUUUGUGCCUUUUUAUUCUUUGCUUACCUUUAUGAUAUAAAGACCUUAUUUCUUGCAAGGAGGAAAAGACCGCUGACUUCAGAAACAGCGGGAACCCUAGCUCGUCCCCGGUAAUUCAAGAGGAAACACUUGAGCAAUUACUGAUGUUGUAAACUGGGAUCAGAAGACAUACAUGGUAUCGUAUCCCAGGCCAGGCACAGUGGCUCACACCUGUAAUCCCAGCACUUUGGGAGGCUGAAGGCGGCAGAUCACUUGAGGUCAGGAGUUCGAGACCAGCCUGGCUUACAUGGUGAAACCCAUCUCUACUAAACAUACAAAAAUUAGCUGGACAUGGUGGUUAGCUGCACCUCUACCUCACGUGGUCCUCCAGGUCCCAGGCUGAUGGAGCAGCCUCUGUGUGUUUGGGAUGUUGUCAGUCAUAAUGGUGGACACAAAAGAGAUUAUGACAAACCGUGUAUUGUCUCCUACAAUUUCUGCUCACAGAAGUGAACAUCACUUCUUUCCACGUUUCAUUGACCAGAGCAAGUCAUGUGACCAAGCCUGAUUCAAAAUAGGCUGGAGCAAGGAGGAGCAGCAAACAUAACAUUCCCAGUUUACAGCUGAGGAAAUUAAGCUUCACGUUGCCCAAGUUUAUAGAAUGAGUCAAUGGCAGAGGUUGAACUCAGAUGACAAAAUUGGGAUCUGGACGUGUGCAAGGACUUUUCCAAAGUCAGCUGGAAAGGAGCUGCUUAGUUGAGAGGUUCGGGCUCCAGAGUCUCCUGUGAAGUUGCAGUCAAGAUGUCUGCUGGGACCCCAGUCAUUUGAAGCCCUGUCUGGGGCAGGAGAAUCUAGGUCCAAAAUGGCCGUUGCAGGAGUCCUCAUCCACACCAUGUGGGGCCUCUUCAUAGAUGUUCAAGUGUCCUCAUGGCAUGGCCACUGGCUUUCCCCAAACUAAGCAGUCUAAAAGAGCAUAAGACAGAGCCCACACUGUCUUUUGUGAAUUAGCCUUGGAAGUCUAACAGGGUUACUUCCACCACAUUCAUUAGUCGUUAGGUACAGCUCACAUUCAUGGGGAGGAAAAUCAGGGCCUGUCUUUAGAUAGGAGAUGUAUCAAAGAAUUUGUGGACAUACUUUAAAAUCACAGCACUACUCUUGAUGUACUAAGUCAGUGACUCCCCCACGAGUCUCACAGAGAAUUGACUCCUUGCCCACCUAUACUACUUUUGUGGGUAGAGAUUCACGUAGUGUGCUGGUUAUUCAACCAGUGGCUUUCUAGAAUACAAAAUGUAUGGAUACAUAUAUAUGUUCUAAGUUUUACUGAUAUGAAGAAUGUGUAGCACAGAAUUUAUAAAUAAGAAAAUAUACAGUAUUAUUUAUUGUAAAUUCCAUAAAACCUAUUGUUUUUCACAAAAGGUUUUAGUUUAUUUUUCCCAAAUGCUUGUAUCGGUAACAUUUUCUGUAUUACUUUUUUAUGUCCAGGCAAUCAACAAAACUGAAAAAGCCCAGCCUUGUAGCAUUCGCCAGUUAUUGUGUACAUGUCCCCACCAUGGUGGAUUUCAAGUUACCACUAUGAUAUCACAGAACGCAGAAUUGGAAGGAGAUUCACAGCAGCACCCCAUUAUACUAUAUUUUUACCAUACAGAUGCAGUCGGUGUAAAUUACCUGAGGAGCAUAAAUAAUAAUAAACUGAAGUUAAAUAAUUAGGAAAUGAUUUUGAAAAUUGUGUUGGUUUUUAAUAUAAGUAAUGUUUUAUAUGUCAGCUUUAAUAAAAUCUGUCUUUAACAACUAGCUUGAAGAAUUCUUGAAAAAUUAAUAAUCAGCUCUCAUGAGCUAGUGACAACUGGCUUCAGUGCACCCCUGACUAGAAACACCUUUGCCUUCCACCACAUGUGGAAUUCCCAGUAUUUCAACAAUCAGAAUUUAGCUUAUGAGCCAACCAAGAAAAAUAACAUCUUAUGUAAGAGACAGCAAUUUGAGAGAGGAAUAUCAGUCAGAAGAAACAAGGGGAAAGUAAAACUUGUAAAAGAGAGAUGAAAAUUUGAAUUUUUUAAAAGGCAUCCUUAAGCAGAUUUAAGUACAACACAAAAAGUUAAAGAAUUUAGUAGAUAAAUAGAAAGAUGAGGUGAUUACCACUGAGACACAGAUCAAUGAUCUGGAAGAUAAAAACAAAUGAUAAA